UACGUAGGGUGCGAGCGUUGUCCGGAAUUAUUGGGCGUAAAGGGCUCGUAGGCGGUCUGUUGCGUCAGGAGUGAAAACUCGGGGCUUAACCCCGAGCCUGCUUCUGAUACGGGCAGACUAGAGGUAUGCAGGGGAGAACGGAAUUCCUGGUGUAGCGGUGAGAUGCGCAGAUAUCAGGAGGAACACCGGAGGCGAAAGCGGUGUACUGGGACUGGUCUGACGCUGAGGCACGAAAGCCAGGGGAGCGAACGGG
rnacentral:rRNA from 1 species